AUGGAACAAAAAGCUUCUAAUGCGCAAAGUGACCUAGAGCAGAUAUUAGUCGAUGACACAAUUGAGCCCAAGGCCCUGCCAUUAUCACUCUUGAAGGACAUCACAAAUGAUUUUUCCGAUGACCGGGAGAUUGGAAGAGGUGGAUUUGCUGUGGUUUAUGAGGGAAUACUUGGCGGCAGGUCGGUUGCCGUGAAGAAGUUGUCCAAAGCUUAUAUGCAUGAAACAGAAUUUGACCGAGAGAUUGAAUGCCUCAUGCGGGCUAAGCACAAAAAUGUCGUAAGAUUUCUGGGAUAUUGUGAUGACAGACAAAGAAGUGCGAAAACGUAUGACGGAAAACUUAUCAUGGCAGAUGUACAACAAAGAUUGCUUUGUUUUGAGUACCUACCUAAAGGGAGUCUUGAUUUGUAUCUUAACGAUGCACAUCGUGAGUGGGAUACAUGCUACAAAAUAAUCAAGGGGAUAUGUCACGGUCUGCAAUAUCUUCAUGACAAUCGUAUUAUUCACUUGGAUUUGAAGCCCGCGAAUAUACUGCUCGACAAUGACAUGGUACCAAAAAUAACUGAUUUUGGCCUGUCAAGAUGCUUAGAUGAAAAUCAAAGCCAAGUGCUUACCAAAAAUAUAUCAGGAACAACGGGAUAUUUGGCACCAGAACGUUAUGAAGGGAGUGGAAUCACACGCAGCGGUGACUUGUAUAGUCUUGGUAUUAUUAUCAUGGAAAUAUUGACCGGGCAGAAAGGGCAUCAAACUAGUGAGGAUGUACUUGAAAGCUGGAGUGAUAGGUUGGAGAGAUCACAACAAGACACACUCUACGAACAAAUACGUGUAUGCUAUGAGAUAGCUUUAAAUUGCAUACAGUUCAAUCCAAAGGACAGACCAGCUAGUGCACGAGACAUGAUUGACAGGCUUCACCAAAUGGAAAGUAUCCAGGGCUGGUUUGGGGAAAUAUUUUACUAUUCUCCUGAGCUGGCUCAACUGCCGGCGACCGAGAUGACGUCAACGCACGAUACGUUGGAGCAGAUGUCAUAUCUGUGCGUGAGCGUGGUAAAGGCGCGGGACCUGCCUACCAUGGGCAUCACCGGCGCGCUGGACCCGUACGUGGAGGUGAAGCUAGGUGACCUCAAGGACGUGACUCGGCACGUGGAGAAGAACGCCAACCCGGUGUGGCGGCAGAUGUUCACCUUCUCCCAAGCCCAGCUGCAGUCCAACCAGCUGCAGAUUAUCGUCAAGCACAAGGCCGAUUUCGUCGGCCGCGUCGACUUUGACGUGUCCGACAUCCCCAGACGCCUCUCGCCUUACAGCUGGCUGGCACCGCAGUGGUACCACCUUUCCGAUACCGACGGCGAGAACAGCCAUAGCCUCGGCGAGAUCUUGCUCGCCGUUUGGCUCGGCACGCAGGCCGACGAGGCCUUACUGGAGACGCGGCAUUCUUUUUUGAAACGGAGGCAAAAGAUUUGCCUCAUCGAUUAA
rnacentral:rRNA from 1 species